CCUGAUCCAGCCAUACCGCGUGGGUGAAGAAGGCCUUCGGGUUGUAAAGCCCUGUUGUUGGGAAAGAAAUCCAGCUGGCUAAUACCCGGUUGGGAUGACGGUACCCAAAGAAUAAGCACCGGCUAACUUCGUGCCAGCAGCCGCGGUAAUACGAAGGGAGCUAGCGUUGCUCGGAAUCACUGGGCGUAAAGGGUGCGUAGGCGGGUUUCUAAGUCAGAGGUUAAAGCCUGGAGCUCAACUCCAGAACUGCCUUUGAUACUGGAAGUCUUGAGUAUGGCAGAGGUUAGUGGAACUGCGAGUGUAGAGGUGAAAUUCGUAGAUAUUCGCAAGAACACCAGUGGCGAAGGCGGCUCACUGGGCCAUUACUGACGCUGAGGCACGAAAGCGUGGGGAGCAAACA
rnacentral:rRNA from 1 species